rnacentral:rRNA from 1 species
GAUGAACGCUGGCGGCGUGCCUAAUACAUGCAAGUCGAGCGAACGGACGAGAAGCUUGCUUCUCUGAUGUUAGCGGCGGACGGGUGAGUAACACGUGGAUAACCUACCUAUAAGACUGGGAUAACUUCGGGAAACCGGAGCUAAUACCGGAUAAUAUUUUGAACCGCAUGGUUCAAAAGUAAAAGACGGUCUUGCUGUCACUUAUAGAUGGAUCCGCGCUGCAUUAGCUAGUUGGUAAGGUAACGGCUUACCAAGGCAACGAUGCAUAGCCGACCUGAGAGGGUGAUCGGCCACACUGGAACUGAGACACGGUCCAGACUCCUACGGGAGGCAGCAGUAGGGAAUCUUCCGCAAUGGGCGAACGCCUGACGGAGCAACGCCGCGUGAGUGAUGAAGGCCUUCGGAUCGUAAAACUCUGUUAUUAGGGAAGAACAUAUGUAUAAGUAACUGUGCACAUCUUGACGGUACCUAAUCAGAAAGCCACGGCUAACUACGUG